rnacentral:hammerhead_ribozyme from 1 species
AUUCAGCUGAUGAGUCUCAAAUAGGAUGAAAAACAUGUCCUGAAU